GUGGGGAAUAUUGGACAAUGGGCGAAAGCCUGAUCCAGCCAUGCCGCGUGUGUGAAGAAGGCCUUCGGGUUGUAAAGCACUUUAAGCGAGGAGGAAAGGUUGAAGGUUAAUACCCUUUAGCUGUGACGUUACUCGCAGAAUAAGCACCGGCAAACUUCGUGCCAGCAGCCGCGGUAAUACGAAGGGUGCAAGCGUUAAUCGGAAUUACUGGGCGUAAAGCGCGCGUAGGUGGUUAAGUAAGCGAUCUGUGAAAGCCCCGGGCUCAACCUGGGAAUUGCAGGUCGAACUGCGUGGCUAGAGUAUGGUAGAGGGGUGUGGAAUUCCAGGUGUAGCGGUGAAAUGCGUAGAUAUCUGGAGGAACAUCAGUGCGAAGGCGACACCCUGGACCGAUACUGACACUGAGGUGCGAAAGCGUGGGUAGCGAACAGGAUUAGAUACCCUUGUAGUCC
rnacentral:rRNA from 1 species